CCAUUACUGUGACUUGUUGUCUGAAACAGUGACUGAAGAUGGCAUCUCCCGCCUGUAUGAAGCUUUUCAGGAAGUGCCUUUGACAUGUGACAGGACCACAGGGCACAUCCUCAAUAGACAUUACAAAUGGCUGCAGAAGCUUGGAAAUCUCGUGUCGGGUUCCGCAUUCGACUAGGGAACCGGGACCGACACAGAAGACCUCUUUGUCCUGCUAUGACAUCUAGAGGCUAACAGGAGCCAACCAGGCCCACCACUGAUCACAUCUCUUGGGAGUCGGCAAAGCAGCUGCUGCAUGGGAAGGAGGAGAGAGAAGAGGCAGAGCAGGAUGUGCCGGGGUGCACCAGUCACACAUAACCUCACAGUCUAGGCGGCGGAAGCCAAGCCCCUCCCCAGCCCUGCCGGACAUGCUACAACUGGAGCACCAGUGUGAAAGGGAGCAGCUCAGCUCGGUCUAGGCAGAUGCCGAAAAUGGAGGAUGCACAUUGUAGGCUCCAGUCCAGAAGCAGCUGACGCCCCUGACUGCAGAGCCCCGAGGUGCCGAGACCCAACCC